rnacentral:rRNA from 1 species
CACGCCCUAAACGAUGGGUACUAGCCGUUUGGUGCGCGAUAGCGCUGAGUGGCGAAGCUAACGCGUGAAGUACCCCGCCUGGGGAGUACGGCCGCAAGGUUGAAACUCAAAGGAAUUGAC